UCUCACUCACGUUCUCUCUCAUUCAGAAGCAUCACCACCAGCUUUCUUUUCUACUUCAUUUUCUUUUCUUUCUCCCACAUUCACGUCCCUUCUUUUCUUUUCCUGCAGCACUUCUCCUUUUCAUUCCCUUUCUUCUUUUUCUGCUCAUGAUCACCAACGUUACAGCACCAUCAUCAACUUCUUCUUCUUCAUUUAUUUCCUUCCUUGCAGCACCUAAAUCACCCAUUUCCUAUACCCACUUCAUUUAUCUCAUUCAACUCAUUGUACAACACUCUCGUCCUUUUCUUUUCUUUGUUACAGCAGCACAUCCCUCAUUUUCUUCUUCUUCAUUUCUUUUCUUUUCUCCAUGGCUGGCCAAACGCACCACAACCCUCUGUCCUUCUUCCUCACGUAGCUCCUUUGGACAGCCACGAUGACCACCAAUCUGCCCCUUUGAGAACCACCAUCACCUUCAUCUUCCAAUUUUAUGGGUACGAAGGACGAAAGCGCCUCGCGGCGAAGCUAAAGAAUAGAAGGAAGCGAGCCGACGUGGAAAACAAAGAUGUGAUUGGAUUGAAGUUGCAGUUUAGGAAAGAAAUUGGCUAAGGCGAUGGAGAAUCUUCGAUGGAGCUUGACCUUCGUACGAGUCGGAGAGAAGAACUGUGGAUGACUCGAAGAAAAGAGUCGGGUGUAGGGCUAGAGCCUUGGGUUAGAGAGCUUACCGUUAUUGGUUUAAGCUUGCAUAAAGAUUUUAAGAAUUUAUAUUUGAGGUUUCGGGUAGGUUCCGAUGCAUUGCUUUCCUGCGGUUCCCCAAUGUGGAGAUCGUAGGGAGUAUGUCGGAUUCAUGGUGUCAUUGCAUAAUAGGUUUCUGUUGAGUUGUUUCUAUUGGUUAGAUUUUGUAGUUGGGAGUAUGCAUGACAUGUUUUGGAAAUACAUUUGAAAAGAAAAAAUAUACUCGUGUUUAUACAUUCUUUUGGGAAAAUAUUGCAUAUUUACUUUAAUAGGUUACUAAAGUGACACCCGAAAUUCGGGGCGUUACAGGGUCUUACAUUGCAGGACUAUUAAUAUCCAGAUUGUAAUCAAACAAAGGGUUCGCAUGUUUUAACUCAAACUUCUGCUACAAUGCUCAAAGUCCAAGCAAUAGUGACUGAUAGCAUGCUUAGAGCUUUUGAGUAUGUCAUGUGUAACUAUCUUUUUAUCAAUGCAAGCUUCUUUUAAUUUGUGUUCUUAGUUUAGUUUUACCUUGUUACCUUGUUUGAUUUUGUUUUUCUUCGCUCUCAAUUCACAUUUUAGCCGAUUAUAUCGAACUAUUGGACACACCAAUUUCGGUUAAAGAACUCGAAAAAAGGAUCUAAAUCUAGCCUCUUCAUCAACAUUUGGAUUUCAAAUUGUUUACUGAAUUUCUGAGUAAACAUUUACGACCCAUAUUUUCGGCGACCACAUUUUUCGGCCACCGUAAACUCAGUCUUCACGAACGCCAGUCUUCCUUCACAUUCAAUUGUUUCAGACUCUACAUAUUUUGUUCAUCCUCUACUUCUUUGACCUUGCCCAUUUCACAAUAUCUCAAUUAAUAAUCAGAUCCACCUCCAUCUUCCACCUAUAUUAUACCCCUUCACCCAAACCUCCAUCUUCCACCUAUAUCGUACCCCAAGCCCUAAAAAUUGUUAACCUUUUCUUCUUGCCUAGAACCGUGACUAACAACCAAAACUUUGUGGCCUCAACCUUCAUACCACCAAUGUACCCUUCAUCAAAGGAAAAUCCUAGAUCUGGGUUUUGAUAUAGGUUUCAAUAACUCUCUCGAUAAGGGUUAUUCAUAUGGGUUUCGAUCAUUCUCUCGAUCUAGGUUUCGAUCAUGGUGAUGAUGAUGUUGAUAACGAUGUAGUCUUGGAAGAGAAAUACAUUUGACAAUGGCUUAGUGGUGGCUGAGCUUGGUGUUGAACCGAGGAUGUAAAUAUAUUUUUGGGUUUCUUUUAUUUUAUUUAUUUAGUUUCUUUUAAGUAAAUUUAGGCAUAUUGUGCAUUUUUAGGGCUUUCCUAGAUUUUAUUUUAUUUUGUUUGAAUUCGAUAGAUUUUCUCUAUUUUUAUUUAUUUUAUCUCUUUUUUAGAUUUUAAUUAGGAUUAUUUAUUUUUUAAUUAGAGUUGAUAAGUUUUUAUUUUAGGA